GUUUAAGCCUUAAAUAUAAUUUUGAGUUAAGCUUAAAAUAAGAAACUUUCUAAAAAGAAAAAAUAUGGUUAUGAAAUGUGUUAGAAAACUUAUGUUGGUGAUCACAAAAUUGCAUAUACUUAUUCUUAUUAGUGUGCAAGCCAAUAACCUUGCCCCAACCUCAUUCACUCCAUCUUCACCUCCCAUAUUGCAUCCUUAUUCCUCUGAACUUGAUAUUGGAGAAUUGCAUUUGUGCCUUAUACAUGCAGUUGGUCGUUGUACUGGAUUUAAAAGCACAUGGCCAUUUCCCGACAAAGCAUAUGAACUUUGCAUAACUAACGCUUUUGCACUGUGCAUCGUUGAAACCCGAGGUUCAAAAAACCCAAUUAUUUUUCAUAACCUAAGAUAUUGCCUCGACGUCAAUUGCGAGCCAAAAUUGAGAAUUAAAGCCAAACACCGUCAAAGUACCCUUUUUGUUCGUUGUUUAUUGGAAUGUUUUUAUCAGCAUGUCGCAAACCCCAAUGAUGUCAUUUUUGUGCAGAAUCGUUGAGUUUCGACUUUGAUGAGAUGGAUGUACAGAUAUGGAGGAAGAUCAUGUCAGCCAGGAUUCAUAUGCCGAUCCCGAUAUCUAUGGAUGAGGAUAUAUGUUGCAUUUUUAUGAAAGACUACUAUAUCUACUUGGUCUUUUGCUAUGUAUCUCCUUUUCAUUGUUCGGCAUUUGUUUGCUAUAUUGUGUGUGAACACUUUAUUUGAAUUUGUUAUUAUGCCACUUGUGGUACUUAUGUGUAAUUAAUGCUCUAGUGUGUAUUUAUUUUGGAACACAUUUUUAUAUUUAUUUAAUUGAGGUUUAUACAUUA